GGAAAGGUGGUAGAGUUGGUCGAUUGCACCGGUUUUGAAAACCGGCGUAGCUGCGAGGCUACCGAGGGUUCGAAUCCCUCCCUUUCCG
rnacentral:tRNA from 2 species